GCUGCGGUUGGGAGGAAAAGAUGGACUAAAGGUGCUCUGGGGACGGGCACGGGAGGAAACGCUUGCAGAGAAAGGCAAGGCAGUGAUGAUUGCGGAGGAGAAAUGAGAGGUGGUUGCUUCCGAUCCGUGGGGACUUUCCUUGGGAGUGAUCGAUCAGAGAGCGUAUGGAAGCAGAGAGCAUCUUCUGGCUGUUGCUGCUCCGUAAACUUCUCCCUGGCUUCACAGGUCCGUGCUGGAGAGUGGGAGAAGGGUCCCUGCUGGCUGCCGUGUCCUGGGUGGGCACAGAGCUCUGCCCUUGGCCAGAUGGGCUGGUUUCCGGGUGUUUUGAUCCUGACGUCGCCAAAGCCUCAGGCUUCUCUCCCUGGGCCCUUGCCGUUGCCGUAUCUCUUGGAUGCCGUGCAGAACGGAAUCAGGCAGCCAAGCCUCAGGUUCACCUUCUCCCUCACCCUCUGCGCUGCUCGUGUGGCACAGCAGAUCCUGAAGCCAGAGGAGCACGUGUACAUAAGGGUAAAGAGAUUCCUUCUGUCACACCGGUAUUUGGACCUGAGGAAGGUACUGGGCUUUCUCCAGCUUUUCUACAGUUUUGAUUUUGAGUAAACAGAGCGCGAGUGGAUCCUCAGAUUUCUUGGGGAAGGGCUGCGUGACAAACAUUGCUGUGAGCUCUAUGUCUACCAGAGGAUUUUCCGGGUCAUUCUUGCCUUUUUCAGCAGUCCUUUGUGUGACCAGGGCUCCCAGAGUCGUAUUCUGGAGAUACGACAGAGUGCUGCCCGUGUCACCUCUAGAGCUGCCCAUGAGCCGAUAGAGGAUCACAGCCUCCUCUCGUGGGUCCUGCACGGCUUAGAGAAAAGGUAACCAGCCAAGUACGGGAGACAUGGGGACAAUUUCCUGUCCACGGCUGAAGAAUGACGUGGCUGAGGAUGAAAGCAAGGGGGACAGACCUGGAGACGGGGGCACCGAGGGCUGCACUGGCAGAACUUGCUGAACGCUGAGGUGUCCCUGGUGUUUUUGAGAAGAGAAUCAAGAGGCUUUCAGGUGGUGGUGGGAGGGACGAUGGUGGGGGGGCUGUGUGAUUUGGGAAUCACUUCCUUGACAAAGCAAAAGGACACCUUGUGCUGGUGUCUUUAGCUUUUAAAUUUCAAGCAGCCUCAGUUCCCAUCCUGUCACAGAACCUGCUGCACAGGAAGUGGCACAGUAAUGGAUUUGAGCUGUCUAGAACGUUAUUUCUCCUCCCCUUGCCUCUCCCUGACAAAAAAAAAAUCUCUCCUGCAAGCACAGAGUGCCCUGACAGGUUCAGGCAAGUGCACCAAAAGUGCCCUAGAAUAUGGUCCCCCGUAGGAGAUGGACCAGCUGCUGGUGAGGAUCUGCCUUUCAAAUGUGGUUUUCUUUUUUUUUUUUUUUUUUUUCUUUUUGUUCUGUU